rnacentral:tRNA from 1 species
GGCCGCCUGGCGAAAUGGCAUCGCGUCUGACUACGAUCUGGUAAUCAGGAGAUUGCAGGUUCGACCCCUGCGGUGGUCA